rnacentral:sRNA from 1 species
UUCCGGUCCCGGCUCAGCCUCCGACCCAGGGGGUCUGGACCCUGCCGGGAGAGUGGUGGCGUUUGAGAGGCUGGUCGCCGACGGGGGUUGGGGGAGGUGGGAGCUGUUUUAACCGUGUGCCGGCGUGGGCAUCCCCCGGGGCGGCGGAACGGGGGCGCUCCUCCAGCUUCCGAGUCCAGCCAGCCUGGGCGCGGGGCGCCGCCCCCGAGACAUCCGAGGAGUCCGUUCCUCCCUGGUUACGUGGACUGUGGAGGUUCGCGCGUAGUGGCGGCGGGGGGUACGGGACCCGGGCGGGAAUUCCUUCCUGCGUUCGUCCCGAGUCUCUUGAUAUGGAGCCAAGUAAGCUUUCUGGUUUUGCUUUUAGCCGGUCUCUUGUGGCUCAGCGCCGUGCGGAGGUUGACGCGUACCUGCGGAGGUCGCACCAGGGCGUGAGGCGGAGGAAGGGCAUGAGCCAAGCUUGAGGGACCGGUGCUCCAAACUCUACACUCAAGGGUGGCCCUUGGGUAGGGUGAAGAUCCCCUGUCUUUAUCCUAGUUCUGCACCUUGGUGUGGGUUACUGGGUGCAGGAUGAACUGUCGCUCGGAGGUGCUGGAGGUGUCGGUGGAGGGGCGGCAGGUGGAGGAGGCCAUGCUGGCUGUGCUGCACACGGUGCUUCUGCACCGCAGCACUGGCAAGUUCCACUACAAGAAGGAGGGCACCUACUCCAUUGGCACCGUGGGCACCCAGGAUGUUGACUGUGACUUCAUCGACUUCACUUACGUGCGUGUCUCUUCUGAGGAACUGGAUCGUGCCCUGCGCAAGGUUGUUG